rnacentral:rRNA from 1 species
CUCCGGUUGAUCCUGCCGGACCCGACUGCUAUCAGAGUGGGACUAAGCCAUGCGAGUCAACAUAGCAAUAUGUGGCAUACGGCUCAGUAACACGUAGUCAACAUGCCCAGGGGACGUGGAUAACCUCGGGAAACUGAGGAUAAACCGCGAUAGGUCAUCACUUCUGGAAUGGGUAAUGACUUAAAUCUAUAUGGCCCCUGGAUUGGACUGCGGCCGAUCAGGCUGUUGGUGAGGUAAUGGCCCACCAAACCUGUAACCGGUACGGGCUCUGAGAGGAGGAGCCCGGAGAUGGGCACUGAGACAAGGGCCCAGGCCCUAUGGGGCGCAGCAGGCGCGAAACCUCUGCAAUAGGCGAAAGCUUGACAGGGUUACUCUGAGUGAUUUCCGUUAAGGAGAUCUUUUGGCACCUCUAAAAAUGGUGCAGAAUAAGGGGUGGGCAAGUCUGGUGUCAGCCGCCGCGGUAAUACCAGCACCCCGAGUGGUCGGGACGUUUAUUGGGCCUAAAGCAUCCGUAGCCGGUUCUACAAGUCUUCCGUUAAAUCCACCUGCUUAACAGAUGGGCUGCGGAAGAUACUAUAGAGCUAGGAGGCGGGAGAGGCAAGCGGUACUCGAUGGGUAGGGGUAAAAUCCGUUGAUCCAUUGAAGACCACCAGUGGCGAAGGCGGCUUGCCAGAACGCGCUCGACGGUGAGGGAUGAAAGCUGGGGGAGCAAACCGGAUUAGAUACCCGGGUAGUCCCAGCUGUAAACGAUGCAGACUCGGUGAUGAGUUGGCUUAUUGCUAACUCAGUGCCGCAGGGAAGCCGUUAAGUUUGCCGCCUGGGGAGUACGGUCGCAAGACUGAAACUUAAAGAAUUGGCGGGGGAGCA